rnacentral:rRNA from 1 species
ACUCAAAUGAAUAGACGGGGGACCGCACAAGCAGCGGAGCGUGUGGUUUAAUUCGAGGCUACACGAAGAACCUUACCUGGGUUUGACAUCUUGCUGAAGUCUGCGUGAAAGCGUGGAUGCUCCGCAAGGAGCAGUAGGACAGGUGCUGCAUGGCUGUCGUCAGCUCGUGCCGUGAGGUGUUCGGUUAAGUCCGCAAACGAGCGCAACCCUCGGUGCCAGUUACAAGUGUCUGGCGCGACUGCCCGUGGCAAACGGGAGGAAGGUGGGGAUGACGUCAAGUCAGCAUGGCCUUUAUAUCCAGGGCUACACACACGCUACAAUGGCGCGUACAAUGGGUCGCGAAGCAGUGAUGCGGAGCCAAUCCUAAAAAGCGCGUCUCAGUUCAGAUUGCAGGCUGCAACCCGCCUGCAUGAAGUUGGAGUUGCUAGUAACCGCGCGUCAGCAGAGUGCGGUGAAUACGUUCCCGGUCCUUGCACACACCGCCCGU